rnacentral:lncRNA from 1 species
AGAGUGUGACUUUCAUGAACAGAAAUAGUCUCCAUAAUCUAAUCUCCAGAAUGCACUAAACCAGGAGAAGAUCCACCUGGUCUGCUGGAGUUUGCUGGAGGUCCACUCCAGACCCUGUUUGCCUGGGUAUCACCGGCAGAGGCUGCAGAGCAGCAAAGAUUGCUGCCUGCUCCUUCCUCUGGAAGCUUCAUCCCAAAGGGGCACCCGCCUGAUGCCAGCCAGAGCUCUCCUGUACGAGAGAUGCCCUGCCCAGUGAGGAGGAAUCUAGAGAAGCAGUCUGGCCAUAGCUUUGCUGCACUGCGAUGUUACCUUUUUGACAUAACCAAGUAAACCAACAGGCUUGAAGACACACCGAUCAUAAAAAUGAAUCUAAGAACCCAGGUGUAAUCUUCUGAUUUCUAGGUCCCAGCGCUUCUCAUUUUUAAGCAGAGUUUCAUAGAAAUACUCUAUUCAAACAAACAAACAAAAAAAACAGAAAAGCCACAGACCUCUGUAACAUUUAAGCAGAGGUGUCCUCUUAGUAAAAUGUAAAAUACAUGUGUGAAAUCUGUUUCCAACAA